GACCAGGCUGAUCCUGGACCAUCCCACAGAUGCUCAAUCAGAUCUGGAUGUGGGGAGUGUGGAACCCAGAUGUUCAGAGGGAGAUGAUGCCACAUCUGGUCCAGCUGAUGGAAGGUCUUGAAGUUCUCUGACUGGCCUCGACUGAAGAUGGUCGUCUCACUGGAUUUAAGGUUCAGAUGCUCAGUAACAAACUCCACCAAUGUGGCAACAGGGAAGCUUUAGGUUUAUUAAAUGUUGCUAUGAAGGUUUCGCUGUUUUUCUUUGUGAAUGCAAUGUGCUCCAACUGAAACUUGAAUUAGAACUUAGAAGUAAAUCCUUCCAUCUGAAAGGAUUUAGUUGCAUUAAUAACCUCAUAACAUUCUAAUUUUUAUUCCAGUCUUGGUUGAAAAUAGAAUCUUUGUAUUAAUUCAGGUAAAAACUGAACUUCACAGCAUGUUGAAGCAAAACAACCAGAUGAAAACUGUGAUGGUGUUGGAUUGUCAGACCGUAAUGUUGCAGCUCAAAGCAGCUUUUUUUUUUUUAUCUCAGUUCAUUCUGACAUUCAGCUAUGAAUCAACACAGCAGAUGGUGAUCCAUGCUGUGGAAGUGUCACAUCUCCUGAUUUAAUGGAGCUGCUUUGCACUUUUUACACUGUUUAUUCACCAACACUUUAUUUAAUAAAAGUCCCAUCUAGUUUUUAUGAGGAAUGUGAUGUUUUAAUUUCUCUGUGAAUAACUGCAGUCUAAUGCAACAGCUGGAGUUGUAACAUCUGUCCUGAUAUUGAUCAUGAAGUAUUGAUCAGAAUACUUAUGGUCAGCAGUCAUCCCUGAAGUUUUACAUUAAAAUCUUUACUUGUGUUGUGAACUUUGGUAAGAAGCAGAAACGUUAGCGUUGCCAUGGAUACAUCAGUGUUAAAUUCUGUCCAUGUUUCCAUUUUGGUAAAUUCAGUCCAGUUCCAGAAUGUGGAGGAAUUUAGUCUCACAAUCACAGACAACAAAUAUUCGGGUUAUUGUUGUUUAUCAGCACAAUACAAAAAGAUUAAUGUUAGAAAUAUUCCAGUUAAGACCCUAGAAUAUCAUGAUUUAUGGAAAUUUACCUCAAUAAUAUGAAUGUUCAGGUUAAGAUUGUACAGUGAUAUUUAUUAUGUAAGUUUAGCUGAUUAAAGUUUAUGACUCUGCACUAAAAUAUUAUUUAAAUUGACAUCAUUAUUAUAAUAUUUAGGGUCAGACCCUACAGUAUUGAGAUUAAGAAAUCAAAUAUUCUAUAAAAUGUAAAUACACUGAACUCAUUUGGAUAUAUUUAAGUGAGACUGUACAAUAUUAUUUGACACAAAUCUAUCUAAAUCAAAAUUUUAAUCAUUUUCACGCCAAACAUUUACUGGACUGAUUUAAAUAUUAAAAUCACUCCUUUCUAAUCCUCUGCUGUACAUUCAAACCUGAGGCCUUAAAUAGAAACACGCAAGUAUCUGUUAGAAGGAACUUCUGCAGAGUCCUGGUUCCAGAACAUGAUGAUAGAAUUAUAGACAAACUUUAACAAAAGCUGCCU
ensembl:lncRNA